rnacentral:miRNA from 1 species
UUAGGUCCUAAUGUGUAGAUCACU